rnacentral:lncRNA from 1 species
CGCCAUCUCGGCUCACUGCAAGCUCCGCCUCCCGGGUUCACGCCAUUCUCCCGCCUCAGCCUCCCAAGCAGCUGGGACUGCAGGUGCCUGCCAUCACACCCAGCUAAUUUUUUGUAUUUUUAGUAGAGACGGGGUUUCACCGUGUUAGCCAGGAUGGUCUGGAUCUCCUGACCUCGUGAUCUGCCCGCCUUGGCCUCCCAAAGUGCUGGGAUUACAGGCGUGAGCCACCGUGCCCGGCCAUUCCUUUUCAUAAUUAGUAAAAAUAUAUUUGCUUAAAUAAUCUUUAUUACAACACCUUGUGAAAUAAGAUAGAGAAAUGUGGAAAUGAUAGCUUACAUAACUUGUCCAAGGUCACAAACUAGAAAAUGCCAAAUUCUAAAAUAGGCACUUUCACACAGUUUUCUAAUUUAUUACUCCGAGCAACCUGAUACAGAAGUGCUACAUGACUCAUUAUUACUGUUUUACAGAUGAUAAAACAAUCUGAGAUUAGGGACUUUACCCAAAUUCAUUCACGCAGCUAAAGAAGAGACAGAGUAGUAGGCAUUCAAAUCCAGACCUUUAAAUAGAAAUUAUGCCUUAUUAAACUGGGAUUUGGUCUCCUGAUGAAUAGCCAUUUCUCAACAGUGAGAUAUAGCUAUUCUUCUGUAGGGCGAAUGGCAGUAAAGAUACUAGGGUUGAUACUCAAACUAGAUUUCCAUAGGCUGGUGCUCUCACAUCUUUGUAGUUAUAUGGAAAAAACCAGGAUUAUACACCAGGGCAAGCAAGCAAGAAAGAAUUAUCUUUUUCUAGCUUAGCUUUUGAGUUAAGUUAGAAGGAGUUCCAAAUAUGUGGCAGGUAACACUGCUAUUCACAUAGAUAAUUUCUGUCUUUUUGAUCACAUGAUGGUCCUUUAUUGGAAAACAAAUACAGGCAAAAUCAAAUAACAGACCCAUUUUUUAGAAGUGAUUUUCAGAUUCCUAUAAAAUCAAUUAUGUCAUAAUUUUUUAGCCUUUCUUUUUCAUUCAUAAAAUAUAUAUCAGAAACUCUACACUCUUACCCAGAUUUUAGAUUAGCAAGUGACUUUUUUAUUUUGCUUCCCCAUUCUGCCCUUUGGCCUUUUAUUGCCGGUUAACGUCUUCCAGUUACUUUAGAGGAAGGGCUGGGAAAGGUUCAGAACUCAUCAUUGGGUCUUGCUGCUUAUCAGCCCUUCGGGUUUUUUUUUUUUUUUGAGAUGGAGUCUCGCUCUGUCGCCCAGGCUGGAGUGCAGUGGUGUGAUCUCGGCUCACUGCAACCUCCGCCUCCCGGGUUCAAGCGAUUCUCCUGCCUCAGCCUGCCAAGUAGCUGGGACUACAGGCACACGCCACCACGCCCAGCUAAUUUUUGUAUUUUUAGUGGAGAUGGGGUUUCAGCAUGUUGGCCAGGGUGGUCUCGAUCUCCUGACCUCGUGAUCCGCCCGCUUCAGCCUCCCAAAGUGCUGGGAUUACAGGUGUGAGCCACCGCACCCUGCCACUUCUGGUUUUAGUGGUUGUAAAAUGUAGGUAAGCAAAGCUUAGUUAUUAGUUGUAGCUUUAUUGACAUGUAUAAUAAUUAAUUGUAAAAGCAUAAUUAAUAUAGUGAUUUUUAGUUUACACUUUUUAGAAUUUAGAAAGUUUGUCUAUUGAUAAGUUAAACUUACUUGAGUGAUUUGAGUUCCAUAAUAAAAAAAUUGUUUCCUUACCAGUACAUCUAUACUAUAUGAGACCGAGUAAAAAAGCUCAGUAAAAUUGAUAAAUGAACAUUGCUCAGAUUUUUUCCUACUCUAGUUUAUAAAGCAAUGCCUUGUCAUGACACUAGAUGGCAUAGCACUUCUGCUCAAAUCACUGAUAGCCAGUUACUUUUUAACUUCAGUAGUUUGUGGUUUUGUUAUUCAGUUAAUUUACUUGUAAUAAGUGGCAAAUUAAAAGCAAAAAUAUCUCAGUAUCAUCUAAAUGUAUGCUAAUGCAUAGUGAAUAUUAUAGUAAACUUAGUACUUUCCAUUUUUAUAUUAUCACUACUGAAAAUCUCAAAAGAGGAGCUUAGUGAUAAUUAACUCGUUAAAAAGCAAAAGGUGCCGGGUGCGGUGGCUCACGCCUGUAAUCCCAGCACUUUGGGAGGCCGAGGUGGGUGGAUCACGAGGUCAGGAGAUAGAGACCAUCCUGGUUAACACCGUGAAACCCCGUCUCUACUAAAAAUACAAAAAAUUAGCUGGGUGUGAUGGCAGGCACCUGUAGUCCCAGCUGCUUGGGAGGCUGAGGCAGGAGAAUGGCGUGAACCUGGGAGGUGGAGAUUACAAUGAGCUGAGAUGGUGCCACUGCACUCCAUCCUGGGCAACAGAGCAAGACUCCAUCUCAAAAAAAAAAAAAAGCAAAACGUUUGGCUUGUUUUGGUGGUAUACCAUGUUAUUUGGUUUGUGGAGCCAGUGUUUUUGUAUGAACAUGAUGAACUACUGAUUAAAACUUUGAUUUGUAAAUUCCUGGGGUGAGUUGAUCUGAAUUGUAUUUUAUUCCACUGCCUACAUAAAUCCAUAGUGCUCUGUGAAGCAUAUGAAUAACAUCACCGUGCUGUGCUUGAAGGGGAGUGAAGAUGAAUGGUAUUGAUUGUUAUCUGCAUCAAUAAAUGAGAUAUUCUGAUUAUGGUACAGUCAGCAGAAGGGAAUUGAAGGCUUAAGAUUUUAAUAUUUCCUUCAAGGAAUUUAUGAUUUGAUGUCAGUAGUUCCUCACAUUUUUUAAUAAUGAAGGCUCCUUUCAAUAUCAAGAUAUUUUAUAGAUCUCCACAUGAUAACCUGUUGAACUUUUUGAGUAUCUGUUGAUCAAGAAAAUAAAGUCAAAAGCUACAAUUAAUUAGUAAUGUGCUCAAAAUAAAUUUGUAUUUUAUAAAUCAUAACAUCUUUUCCAUGUUACUCUGUCUAUAUGGAGUUCUUAAUACCACACAUUUGCUUAGGGAGAUGGAAUUAGCAACUAGUCUGUGCUACCCUGUAUUUUUUUUUUAACCAUGUAGUUGGAUUUUUUAAAAUACAAUAAAAGAGUUCACUUUUCCAGGUUUGACAACAUUUUUAUGAAUUGGAAAUUUUCUGUGGCUACAGAUACUAUUAACAUUUUGGAAAGGUGUAAAGAACAUUGUUUUAAUGUAAGGCUCUUCUCUAACCUCCCUCCCCUCUCCAAAUUCUCCAUAAUAUGAAGUAGGAAGAUAUGUAUUUUUCUGUUGCCAUUAAAAUGUUCUGGCCAUCGUGGGAGUGGGGAUGGGGAGGGCGGGGAUGGGAAUUAGAACUUACUAGAAUAAAAUUCCAAAUAGAGGUUUGGGGAAACCUACUUGUGAGUGCUUUUUAACCUCAAAAUAAGGAUUUGGGGUGGGUGGAGAAGGUGAUGGGGCAGAAGAAGUUGUUUUUGGAGGAGAGAAAGCAGAUUGAAAGGAAAAGGACAGCUGAUAGCCACUUAAAUAAUGUCAUCGUUAGAGUGAUACCUAUUUUUUGUAAAAAGAAAACAAUAUGCUCCAUUCUUACAAAGCAUUGAUUGUAUUUUAAUAUAUACAAUGUAAAUACUAUCAUGCAGUGGUGUCCAAGGGAGAGAAUACAGUCAUGAGUUCUUAGUUUCUGUUAUUGGUUGGGCCAAUAAAGCCCCUUCAUCAUCCUUCUUUUCUGCUUAUCACUAGAGACAGAAACUAAAAACCAUGGCUUCAGGCUGCUAAAAGCCUAAAACAAAACAGAACAACAACAACAAAUAAGGCAGGUUGGACAAGCUUGCUGAGUAUUUGGGAGCCUUUUUCAAAAGUCUGAUUUGGGGGAAGUAAAGUCACUUAUUUUAAGCUACCUUAGUAUAGCACCUAAAGAGUUACUUUGUGAAUUUUGUAUGGC